CUUUAAAGCUUAAUUGGAAGAUUUAGCCAUUUAAGAAGCGAAAAUCGGAACUUAAUGCACUAAGUUGUGCGAAUUGAUGCAAAUUGGAAUUUUUCUUCGCAGCAGGUCUUCGAGCUUCGUUGAGCUGAAAUUGUGCUCUUAGAAGCUAGUUUGGAAGGUGUUCUAACCAAGGCGAGAUCGCGAUCGAGCCUUGGAUCGUCUUCGAUUGCCUUGUGAGGACUCUUGGAGGUUACACUUGAGGUUUGAGACCUAGUGGAGC